rnacentral:rRNA from 1 species
UAGUAACGGCGAGUGAAGCGGCAACAGCUCAAAUUUGAAAUCUGGCGCAAGCCCGAGUUGUAAUUUGUAGAGGAUGUUUCUGGCGACGUGCCUUCCGAGUUCCCUGGAACGGGACGCCAUAGAGGGUGAGAGCCCCGUACGGUUGGAUGCCUAGCCUCUGUGAAACUCCUUCGACGAGUCGAGUAGUUUGGGAAUGCUGCUCUAAAUGGGAGGUAUACGUCUUCUAAAGCUAAAUACCGGCCAGAGACCGAUAGCGCACAAGUAGAGUGAUCGAAAGAUGAAAAGCACUUUGAAAAGAGGGUUAAAAAGUACGUGAAAUUGUUGAAAGGGAAGCGUUCAUGACCAGACUUGAGCAGGUUGAUCAUCCGUGGUUCUCCGCGGUGCACUCUGCCUGCUCAGGCCAGCAUCAGUUCGCUCCGGGGGAUAAAGGCUCUGGGAAUGUGGCUCCCUCGGGAGUGUUAUAGCCCACUGCGUAAUACCCUGGGAUGGACUGAGGUUCGCGCUCUGCAAGGAUGCUGGCGUAAUGGUCAUCAACGACCCGUCUUGAAACACGGACCAAGGAGUCGUCUUCGUAUGCGAGUGUUCGGGUGUCAAACCCCUACGCGUAAUGAAAGUGAACGUAGGAGAGAGCUUCGGCGCAUCUCCGACCGAUCCUGAUGUUCUCGGAUGGAUUUGAGUAAGAGCAUACGGGGCCGGACCCGAAAGAAGGUGAACUAUGCCUGUAUAGGGUGAAGCCAGAGGAAACUCUGGUGGAGGCUCGCAGCGGUUCUGACGUGCAAAUCGAUCGUCAAAUAUGGGCAUGGGGGCGAAAGACUAAUCGAACCUUCUAGUAGCUGGUUUCC